rnacentral:piRNA from 1 species
GAACUGGAGAGUCUGAAGGAGGAUU